UACAGAGGUCUCGAGCGUUAGGCGGAAUCACUGGGCUUAAAGCGUGUGUAGGCGGAUCGUUAAGUGCCUUGUGAAAUCCCACGGCUUAACCGUGGAACUGCUUGGCAUACUGGCGGUCUUGAGCAACCUAGGGGCGAGCGGAACAAAUGGUGGAGCGGUGAAAUGCGUAGAUAUCAUUUGGAACGCCAAUGGUGAAAACAGCUCGCUGGGGGUUUGCUGACGCUGAGACACGAAAGCCAGGGGAGCAAACGGG
rnacentral:rRNA from 1 species